rnacentral:misc_RNA from 1 species
AAGUCGUAACAAGGUUUCCGUAGGUGAACCUGCGGAAGGAUCAUUAAUAAAUUGAAUUUUUAGGAAAGGGUUUAAAGCGGGGGGAAUUGUGUGGCAUUAAUUUGUUGCAUUAUUUUCCUUUUUUUCCUUUCUUUAAAACCAAUUUGUGAAACGUUUGAUGUUUUUUUGGGAGACGCGGUUUUUCGUGUUUCCCGAAAGUAAAUAUAUAAACUUUUUGUUAUUAUUAUAGUCAUUAAACAAUUUUUUUAUUAAAAUUGAAUACAACUUUUGACAACGGAUCUCUUGGCUCUU